AUCUAAGUAGUUUAAAAGAAAAUCUGAAUUUGUGGAAUUCAAGAUGUGUCAUGCACCUUAGAUA
rnacentral:tRNA from 1 species